GACGAACGCUGGCGGCGUGCUUAACACAUGCAAGUCGAGCGAGUGGCGGACGGGUGAGUAAUGUCUGGGAAACUGCCUGAUGGAGGGGGAUAACUACUGGAAACGGUAGCUAAUACCGCAUACCAUCGGAUGUGCCCAGCUGGGAUUCGCUAGUAGGUGGGGUAACGGCUCACCUAGGCGACGAUCCCUAGCUGGUCUGAGAGGAUGACGAGCCACACGGGAACUGAGAGACGGUGCAGAGUCCUACGGGAGGCAGCAGUGGGGAAGAUUGCACAAUGGGAGAAAGCGUGAUGCAGCCAUGCCGCGUGUAUGAAGAAGGCCUUCGGGUUGUAAAGGACUUUCAGCGGGGAGGCGUUACCCGCAGAAGAAGCACCGGCUAACUCCGUGCCAGCAGCCGCGGUAAUUC
rnacentral:rRNA from 1 species